UGAGGAUUGUUUCGAGUUCUAUGUUGGCUGGAUUUUAAAUUAUUCUUCGACAAAUAAUUCGUUUUAUAGUAUGAAUUUGUUUAAAUUUUCUUGGACGUACGUAUUACGGGUUAAGCCAUGAGAUCUCUUAAGCACGAGUCGACGUUACUAACACCAAGGGAUUGAUACAACAACAACAAGCUUACUACUCAAAAUUAUUAAAAUACUUUUCAUAAAUAUACUUGAGUUUUAGACUCGCAAGAUACAUUUGAUUACAUGAGAUCGAUGUUUAUGUUUUUUUAACAAAAGACAAGCUCUGCUCAGAAUAACUACUUGAUACAGUCGAGAGAUAUGCGUACGACAAACCUGACCGAGAUGUUGGUAAAUUUUUUUAGUAAAGUUUUUAUUUUUUUGUUAGUUAUUUAGAUUGAAAUGACUAAAAUUAUGUAAUAUAUACAUAACAUAAUAAUAUCAAUGGCAUAGUGCACAAGUGUGUUGAAUGAUUUUUUUUUUUUGUUAUAAUUUUAAACAUUAUUAUGUAUUAAUUGAAGAACUUAUAGAUGGUUCUCUAGCAGCAGUAAUUUUUAG